GACGGCAUCCGUCACAAUCUCCAUGAGGAUAGAUGAGUUUAAUGCCAUACUGGGGAACAUUUUCAUGCAGAUGAGUAGAUAACAGCGCCUCCACCAGAAAACUGUCCAGCUCCCCUGUCUGAGCCCUGGUCUGACUCCACAUGUUAAAGAAGAACCCAACAUCAAACAGGAGGAAGAUCAGCUUCAAGUGUCUGUCCCAGAGUUUAGUGCAGUGAGCGUAAAGACAGAAGAGUCCCCACUGCUUCUACAAAGACAAACUGAGCAGAGAGAGAACACACAAGAACAGGACAUCAGCGCAGAGACACUUGUUCAUAGUGAGGACACAAAGGGAGAGACACUCAGAGA